UGGGGAAUCUUCCGCAAUGGGCGAAAGCCUGACGGAGCAACGCCGCGUGAGUGAAGAAGGUCUUCGGAUCGUAAAGCUCUGUUGUCGGGGACGAAAGGAAAGGGGAGGCAAUGCCCUUUUUAAGACGGUACCCGACGAGGAAGCCACGGCUAACUACGUGCCAGCAGCCGCGGUAAUACGUAGGCGGCAAGCGUUGUCCGGAAUUAUUGGGCGUAAAGGGAGCGCAGGUGGGACGGUAAGUCUGUCUUAAAAGGCAAGGGCUCAGCCCCUGUAAGGGACAGAAACUAUCGUUCUUGAGUGCCGGAGAGGAAAGCGGAAUUCCCAGUGUAGCGGUGAAAUGCGUAGAUAUUGGGAAGAACACCAGUGGCGAAGGCGGCUUUCUGGACGGCAACUGACACUGAGGCUCGAAAGCCAGGGUAGCGAACGGGAUUAGAUACCCCGGUAGUCCUGGCCGUAAACGAUGGAUACUAGGUGUAGGAGGUAUCGACCCCUCCUGUGCCGGAGUUAACGCAAUAAGUAUCCCGCCUGGGGAGUACGGUCGCAAGACUG
rnacentral:rRNA from 1 species